GGGGCGGGGAGGAUGGGGGUGGGGGGGGGAGGGAUGGGGGGGGGGGGGAGAGGCGAACUUUCAUUUUCACGCCGCCCCCCCGGAGCCGUGCCGAGCCGUCAGGUAGCGGACGGAGCUCGGCCCGCGCUCGCAGCCCCAUUUCGCGGAGGGGGGAAGCGAGAUGGAGGCGCUCCGGGACCUCUCUCUGCACUUGACGUGAGGCUGCGGCGGGUCCGCCUCAGCCCCGGCGCCGGGCUUCCCUCUGCGGGAGGGAGCGAGAGAGCAGCGGGGGCCGCGCACCGCCGCUCCCCAGGCCCGCGCUCUCUCUCGUCGCCUUCUCGCUCGUCGCCUUUUUCUUUUUUUCCCCUAACCGACCGACACGGAGAGCUCCGAGCUGCCGGGCUCGCUCAGACCGUCAUGGCUACGAGAAGUGCGCUGCCGGUCAGAAACACGCGAUCCCGGGGCUGCCGGCUGAGCGCCGAGCGGUGCGUGAGGCACCGCACGCUGAUACCGCGCCCGUUCGCGGCUGCUCGCGCCGAGGCUCCGAGGCUCGGGAUCACUCGAGAGCCAACUCUUUUUUUUUUUUCUUUUUUUUUUUUUUUUUUCAAAGCAAGUUCUUAGCAAAAAAAAAAAGGAAUCGGUCGUUCCUCACAUCUUGUUUUCUUUUCCUUUUUUUUUUUUUCCCUUUUUUUUUUUUUUUUGAAAGGGAGAAAAUAGAACUGAUUGGCCGUAUAUUUACACUUUCAGGCUUAGCUGAUUAAAACUGCCCUGAGUGAAGUUUUCAAUGAGCACCGAAAGGAAUGGCAGCCAACGGCUUGGAGGUUUUCUUUUCUUUUUUUUUUUUUUUCUUUUUUUUUUUCUUUUUGCCCACGAAAGCAGCAUUUUGUGGUAGAAAUAGCAAUGAGAGCACUGAAAAAAAUACAUAAAAAAUACAGCGUUGCCGAUACCACUCGUCUGUAUUUAGAUUACGUAUCGUUCUGCCCUAAAGCAACUCUAGUUGCUAUUUUUCACCCAUUUUUUUUUCCCAACUAUGAUGCAGAAAUAAGACCUAGCAGAUAGGAUGUCAGCCUCUUUGCCAGGAUGUGGUAUUCUCUUAUACGAAUCACACUGUUGUCCUCUCGAAUGGCAUUUCUGAGGUCUCAUUAAGGAUUUCUAAAGGCAGUGAAGUUUCUGCACCGCCGCUAUCCCAUCCGUGCUUGCAGACACACACAGGCCCAAUCCUGCGUGUGGUUCUGUGCUUCGUUAUGGCCCUGUUCAGACCGAAGCUGGAAGUCGUAUUACACAAUCACUGCUCUCAGUAUUACUUAGGGCUGCACGAAGCGUAAACCCAAUGCAAUAGUCUCGGUUUGCAUCACCCACUUCGUUUCGCUGGGGUUUAAGCUAAAUAAUGCACAAUUGCCAUAAUUUUAGGAUCAGGGUGGUUAAAUAUUUGACGGCGAGGAAGGGCAGCCGCUCUCGUCUAACAGCCCCUGCAAUAGGAGGUGGGUAUUGCACUCUCUGGCUGCAGCAUCUGGGAGAGGAUUGUCAGCUUGUUUCCUCAGUGACUGGCAAAGCCAAGGAGUCACAGCAGGAGCACAGCUGAGGACAGAAGGCAGGGGAGAGGGAUUUUGAGCCUCAACAAAAGCGAUGUCAGUUCUUUAGAUCAGAUUUCCGUUCCAGAUAACGUGGGCUCAUCAGAACGGUGGAAGUCCUAUCUGCUGUGGCAGCUAAGAGAGGGUAGAGCUGCAGUUUCUGUGCUGCACUCCUUUCCUCGCACCUUUCCUCGCUGAAGCACUACCUGCACGCCGCCAAUCCCCCCACUGUAGGCACUUCUCCUCACAGACUGUCAUUACGUUCUCAGAGAAUCUUCCACUGCUGUAACAUGUGACAUGGCCAGCAUUUGUCAUGUUAUCUGCUCUCCUGUUGCCAGGGGGAGGAGCAUGUGCAGUUGAAUGUUUUGAGUUUUAUCUGCCUUUUUUGUUUUUUUUUUUUUUUUCUUCAAUAUAUGUGUUGUUUACAGUAGUGAGGCAAGGUCAAAGUCAUGUAUUUUGUUCUCCAAGCACUACGUGGUUGGUUGGGCUCCUGAUGGCCCUUAGCUCCUGGGCGUAUUCAUCCCAUAGACUUGUUCCAGCCCCUGAGAAAAGUGUAUCUGUAGAAAUGUUAGCUUUUUUCCCCUACUUGUGUAAAUUCCCUUGUGUCAGGUGAGAGAAACUGCCGACACGAGGCUGUAGUUUGGAGACCCAGGCAUUUCUUUGGGAAACCUGGAUUUAGGCCCCGGGAGGAUCUGGAGACCCCAAAUCUGUCAUUUAAAGUUCUAUAGAAAAUCAGUAUUAAGUGGAAGAGAGGGACUUGUAUUCACCUACCCCACUGAGAUGACAUUCCCCCCGGCUUCCUAUACUUGGGAGUUCCCUAUAUGGAACAAGAAUCACACUUGGGUAUCCCAAACGGCCGGGGUCUGUCUGCAAGGUGGCACAACCAAAGCAAGGUACUGAUCUCCCAGAAUGGCCCAGGAGCUCCCAGCUCGUCAGGGAUGGUUAGAAAGCUGGAGGCUGUCUUUUGACUCAGGCACGCAUUACUUUGCAAAUUACCUUGCUAUGUGUUUUUAAGAUUUAUUUUACAACCGUGAGGAUUAGAGGAAUUUGUCGUAAUGAAAACUGGCAUUGUGUCACUACUGUGUAACUGUGUAGCUGGAUUCUUUGGUCUGCCUGGGUACUUGCAUAUUAUUCCACUCUCUACUGGUCCAGCUCCUAAGUGAGUUACACCAAAUGGAGGCCAACAAGGUAUACCCAACGUGGAGCAAUUAUAAUAACGUGCACAUCUACAUAUUAUUUGGGUUCCCUGUUUUGGUAUGGCAUAUGUGUGCAUGGCCAGUGGAAAUUCCAACUUUUUUUUUUUUUUGUAUUUAUUUUUCUAAUUUAAGCUCUGCCUUGCUUUUGGUGCUUAUCCAGCCUUCUUUGCUGGAUCCCCGUUAGAGAUUCACCAAGGCCUCUCCUCAGACCUCUUCUGAAAGUUUGCUAUCAGUUGAAGUUUCUGCUUAAUAAUCUACUCUAAUAAUCAAGUGUAUUCAACAUCUCCUUUCAUUUUUGACUUUUCUGCUUCUUUCUGUGGCCAUUAAGUCUCCAAUUUAUCCUGACAAACAUAGGAUUUGGAAUUCAUUACUUAGGCCAUUUCAGGUUGUCACGUAGCAAGGACUGAAAUGUGCGCCGCUUAUUACUGUACAGUCAUUAGACUGCAGUGGCAGUGAAAACUAAGUUCUGAAUUUGCCAGCUGAGAGCUGAUCUAGGGAUCCUUCUCUUGGCACCAAGGACUGCAGGAAGUAUUUGCUAGAUUAGGAUGUACACCUGCUUUAUUAAAUUCCCUACAAAAUACUAAGUGGAAAAAAAAACCCCAAACCACCCAUAAACAACCUUUAGCCUAUUUUUGGUGUAGACUACCUGGUUUUUCAACAGCCAACUUUCAAUCUAUUUUUUUUUUUUUCCCCCAAUGUCUAAGAUGUUUAACACAGCAUAAAGGCAGCUGGUACAAUCCAAAGGCUGGGCUUAACUACGCUUUCCUUCAGUAUUGACUCUAAUACAGCCAUAGGCCUGACCCAUCAUGAACAUAUCCCUGAGGCCUCGGGAAAUACUUGCUAUUAAACUAAGGUUCUGUGGUGAAGUUUUGCUAAAACGGCCUCGCUGUAACUUCUAAACAUUGUAAAAAUUCUUCUGCAUGUUAGUGGUUGUGAAAUGUGCUGGUUCGUUAUCUGUGAAAACUGAAGCCCAUUCUUUAUGGAUUAAUUACAGCAGAGCAGUUGCCAAGUGAUCUUCUCCACAGCACCCACGAACUUUGGCCUUACACUGAAGAGGACUCGUCAAAUGCUUUGGGAGAUACAACACAGAAUUGGAAGAGAAGCAUGGAUCUACCUGAAGGGCAGUUCGCUGCAUUCUUGGUGUGUGGAGGAACGGGUCCCGUGCUCACUGUUGUUACUCCCACAUAGGCGGACUCUGUAACUGAUUAUAUGUGGGUAGGGCCCUAUUGAAAUUAAGGAGAUUCUGCAGUAGUGCGGGGUUCUGUUUGUGUGACCCUACUGUGCCUUCUUACUGUGAAUUCUGUCAGUGUAUCAUGGGUUGUGCUGGAACCUGCCUUUUGGGAUAAUUACCAAAUAAUAUAUUCCUCAAAACUUCUUAAUGGCACUGAGGCUUUGUGGAUAGUUGGUCACAUGAUGAGAAAAUUCAGCUAAAAUCCAUACAAUAUAUCCAUUAAGGAUAUCAUUAUUCUUGGAUAAUUCACCACGUGAACCCGGAGUCCUUCAGCACUGCUGUUAGGUAGGGAGUUUUCAUUUGUUUAUUUCCUUUGCUUUCAGAAGAGUGUGUUUCUGAGCUGCUCUCUAUCUUCACCCAUAAAAUUUUCCAAAUUUAUAGAUCUAUAAAAACCGUUUAUGCCUCCAAUAUUUGUGUAGCUACUGCAAGCAGAUUUACUAACAUAAUUGUCUUGCUGAGUUGAACGUUGAAAUGUUAAUAAAUAUAUACUUAUGCUCAUGUCAAAGUAACUUGGUUAAAUUAAACUAAACUGAUCUGACGUUAUGAGUGGCAAUUUGAUCACACAUGCUGAUUAAUUAUAGGCUUCUUAGGCAAGAACUGUAUAUUUUAUUUUAACUAAGUACCCUGUGCUUAAUCGGUAAUAAUUAUCCAUACCCUUUGUCAGUGGAUUCACCCAAAAUAACUAUAAAUAUACUUGUAUUGAAGAGGAAGUUUUUUGCUUGUAUCUAUGGGUACAGGCAUUGCUAUGAUUCCUAUUUUUAUAUCCAAGAGAGCAAAAAUUAUGUGUAGGUGUUUUACCUGUGUAACGCUAAUGGCUUUAUAAACUCCAUGCCCUUUUUUUUAUGAUGGUGUAUUUCCUUUCUGGUGUUCAAGUACAAAAAUGUUCUGAAGGCAAUCUUGUAUCUGGAAGAUGGAAGAACUAGAAUUGGUAUUGAAUCUGUGAGUAAUUAUUAAGGAAGUGUGAAGCUGUAGAGGAUUUGUAGGCAUGGCCAAUUAGAUAUUCCUUCAUGUAGAGCAAAGAUGCAGACAGUGAUUGGGGAGUAAAGAAAAAGAGAUUGUAGAAUUAUUUUUUUGCUUGGCACAAAAGUAACAUUAAAUGAAUUUGAAGAAAGAGCAAGACCAAAGAAGAGAUCAUAACCAGAUCAAAAGCAGACUUGAGAGUCCAAUUAACAAACAAAUGAACAAACAAACAAAAUAAAACUCAAAAAGAAACAAGGAACUAAACAGAAGAAUAUAUGGCAAAAAUAUGCCCAGAAGGAGAACUGAAUGUGUAGCUACUGGUACCUUUCAUUUCAUCAAAUAUCUGGUUGAUUUACCUAUCUAUUUAAUUUAAAACUUCCAGGAAAUGUCUUUCUCUACAGUUCUCUGCAGUUUUUUUGGAGGGGUCGUGUGGGCUUUGGAGAGUUAGUGACUGUGAAUUACCUGUAUAAACAGAGUAUUUGAGAUGACAACUGCAACUAAGAACAGAGGUCGAUGGUCUACAUAUGCUAAAAUGUGGCUAGUGCUAAGCAGAAGAAAGAGCUUCUUGUUCAAACUCAUAACUUAACUAUUUUAAAUUUGAACAUCUCAAAGAGAGCUCAAAACCCAACGGGAUUAUUUUGGUUACGGGAUGUUACGGUGCUUCUUUUAUAAUUUCUGAACACAAAAAUGAAAUGGAGUUAUUUUUUAAUAUGAGAUGAAACCAUAGUUUGAGAACAUUGAAUGUUUCUCCUGAAUAAUGAGAACACUGAAUAUUUCACUUUGCAUCUAAAAUCUUGAAUGAUAUUUUUUUUGUUUGUUUGUUUAAAAAGCACAGUUCUAAUAGUUGACUAUUUUCAUCUUUUAGUUCUAUAUGCCAUAUUUAUUCUUACUUCCCCUAAGUUGUGCAAAGGAAAGAAAAGGAGAGAGAGAUCAGGUGAUUGCACAGCAACCAAACCCAGCCUCCUAUGUUCCCUCUCCACACCAGAUUGAAAAAAAAAAGUGCCUCAGAAAAGAUCUGGUUUCAGAAGAGAUAAAGAAGCAAGGUGAUAUAUUAGUCAGUGGGGUAUGAGGAGGCCCCUGGAUGUUUCAUAUGUCUCCAAGUUUUUCAGUCAUCUCUACGGAGGGCAGCUCAUACACAUCUGACUGCAUCUCCUUCCUGAGAGAGCAACUUCCCUGUGCUUUGAGAGAAAGAAUGUAGGGGCACAGCUCUAUUCUGCCUGAGGUAAUGCUGCUACAAAACACUGUUUGGAAGAAAAGGAACUCUGAAUUGUCUCCUGCUGUAUGUCUCCAGUACUCACGGCUGCUAACCCGUGUGGUUGAGCACCUGAUCUGCUUGUUCCUUUAGUUCAACCCAUUCUGUGCUGUUGUAAAUGACUAAAACUAGGAAACAGCAAGAAAGCAGACACGAAGAGAUCUUGUUGAUGUUUGUGGAAUUUAGGGUGUGGGCAUUUGCUACAUGGGCACACUUUAUGUAGGUUUGGGAAUACUUCAAGGGCUGGAAAUACCAAACUAGAGCAAAGGAGAGUAAUUUUCCUUCAGUGGCAAGCUGAAAUGAUAGCCUUGGUUCUGUACAAUAAGGAGGAAGAGGAAAGGAAUGUGCCUGAAUGUUCAGCAUGUUAGUUGUUUUAACUUUAAGCUGUAAGAUCUUUUUCUCCACUGCUGUUUGCGCUUGGCUUGUAUCACCAAUGUCCUGUCUUUGAGCUGGAUGUAGCAUGUUUUUGUUUGCUGAAUGAGGCACCCAUCAAAUUACAGUGUCAUGAACAUUCUUCUUCUUCAGUCCUUGAAAGUCAAAACAUGGUAGCUCAGGUAGCUGUAAUAACCCAGUAAUAAAUGUGGCGUGAAAGAAUUUUCUUAUUUCAUAGUACAGGAAGAACAGUGUUUUAUGUGUCACUUCAUAUACCUCCUCCCAUCUUCUUUUCUACUCCUAAGCAGAUCUAAUGCAUGAAAAUUUUCUUCAGCGUUGUCCUCAGUUCUUUAUUUCCAGUUACAACUUUUGUUAGCAAUUUUUUCAUAUUUUUGGUUGGGGUCCUCACAAAACCUCUCUGCAUCCUCGGUGAAUGACACCAUCAUGCUGUUGUUUGCUUUAAGUCAUCAAACCUAGGCUAAAUCUUAGUUUUUGGAAAUCUUUUUCCAAUCCUUCAGGGAUGCUCUUUCUUCUCUGUUGGUUGCUUGUAUUUUUCAUCCAGGUUUUCCAUGGAUCAUAUCGUUAUUAGAAAAUCUUCUUCUUUUGCCUUGACAAAUGUAGUCUUGUCAUUAUGCGUUCCAAGUGCUGCUGUAAAUAUCAGUUUCCAGAUUUACUCCUUUGGCUUUUUAAACUUCCUCCUUCAAUUGAAAGCAAUAAAGAUAAGCUAUCUGUCUUUGUUUUCAAGGCCCAUCAAGACUACUUCUACCUGAUACCUUUCCUUCAGUAUCAAGAGGUUGACUCUGAUUUUGAUCAACAUAUGAUGCCAGCUUCCAUCAUUCAGUUGUUAUAUUUUCACACUGGAUACUUUCUCCUCAGCUGCCUCUCGUGUAGUAGCUGACUCCUUCAUAAACAGAACUGUUUGCUGUCUCCCUUUAAUAUCUUCUUAAAAGUUUUAUGUACUGUGAAGCUUAUGACAAUCCAACUAGAAAAUAAGUAUGUUGUACAAGUAUACUAAUACCGAUGCUUGUCACAGUAAUACUUUGUCAUUGCCUUUGUACUCUGCAGUAAUCUCUGUUGUCUCUUCACGUAGAAUUCAUGUGGACUUUUUGUUGUAUGCUUAUUCAUGGCCCAGCAUAACGAGAAGUGGUCCAGGGUGUAGCCUUCUAGGAUUUGUGGUAAUGCAAAUAAAUAAUAAUGAACACUUGUUGGAUACUGCAGUGUAGCCUCUGGAUUCUGCUGAGCCCUGACUCGCAUCAUACUUAAUGCAGAAAUAAGGUGCUCACAAAAAUAGGGGCCUCACAAAAGGGAAAGAAGUGAGUUUCAGCCAACACAGAAAAUGCUAGCACCCCAGAAGUCUUCUCAGCUGUCGAACCCAAGUCAAUAGCUACUGGCAUUGUGUCCAGAAAGCACCCCUCUUUAUCUUCUCCACAGCAGUAACAGCAGACUCUCCCUCCUCAGAGGAAGUUAAUGUGAGUAUUACGAAUCCUCAGUGUAUACAAGAGAUUAAAGGACUUCAUAUACUUCCAUAGUGUCAUUCUGCUACUUAGUGCCUUCCCUUCCUGACACAGCAUCUCUUGGUACAGAAAUCUUGAAUAACCACAGGCCAUUCUGUUGGUCAGUCCUUGUCAAAUACCACUUGGUUCUCUGUUGAGAAGGAACCUGCACUAGUUUUGAUUCGGUAUCAAGGUACGUUGCUACCUGAUACUGCUCUGUUUCCCUGGUACCUUGAAGAUAAUGAUUCUUCAGAAGAGUGGUAAGCGUGAAUUGCAACAGGAAUUCCUCAGGUAUGUCGUUCUCUUUCUGGAAGUGGGUCUGCAUGUGUCCCUUUUCCUUCUUUCAAAGUGACACCAAAAUAUCAGCAUUUAGAUGAUAACAGAGAUGAUGAAAUGUUAGUGCCUUGCUGAUAGAGAAAUGAUAGAUUGGUCUGUUGGUCUCUAUAUGCUAACUAGUCAAAUAAGUUAAAUUUAUCAGACUAAACCACAAAAUAUAAUUACAAGUGGUUCCAUAUCUGAGCAGGAGAAGCCUGGCAAGAGCUCUGAAUGAGCUGAUAGAGUGGACACAGUGACCGUGAAAUACAGCAGGAGGCCAGAGAGGCUAUACAAUUGAGAAGCUCGAUAGUAACAAGAGUUUUCAGUUUUCAAACUAUGGUCUGGAUAAGCUUAACAUUAGGGCAUCAUGCAUAAGCUGUGUUUUUAACUACCAUCAAGAACUAACUUUUGAGCAAACUAUCCAGAGAAUCCAGUAGAACGAGGACAGCUCUUGAGUUCGUUUAGAUUAGUAACCAGGAUUUGGUUGACAAAGUAACUAUAGGAAAGACAUUUGGUAGUGGUACAUCAUAUCAAACUGAAGUUUGUCGUAUUUGCAUGAGAGAAAAAGAUAAAAAUAAAUAAACAAUCCAGUAUUGUUUAACUGUAAAAAAGAACUGCAUACAAAUGAAGAAAUCGUUCAAGUAAAAAUUGUAAGAGGCUAAGAGAGACACAGAGUGUUUGUUUUCUAAUUCUGACCCAAGUGAAUAAGAAUUCAUGACAACUGAGCAGUAAGGGAAGUUACGAGGAACAAAUAGAUGUUUUUCAAAAAGUGAAAUCCAAACAAGCAAAGAGGAGAAGAGCACAGUUCUGGGAAGUUAAAUGUAGACCUAUUCUAAGGAGGGACAAAAAGAUUUUGAGGAGCAAUAGGCUAAAAUCAUAAAAGCAAAAAGAAAAAUCUAUAAGUGUAAACUUUUCAGUUAAUUCUGCUAGCAGGACACCGAGUUCCAGAGACAGAAUAUUUAAAGGCAAAGCCACUGCAGAAGGAAACAUAUGGACAAACCCUUACAUUGGCAGAGUUCAUUCCAGGGACAUUAGGAACAGUCCCAUAUAAAAGUUGUUCUUUAUAAGAAGUAUUUCAAUUUUUAAAUAUCAGUAAAAGAUUUUUGAACAACUUGAUUAAAUGGGCAUUAGCAGAUUGCCAGAUAGCACGAUGUUCUUUCGGUAGUUGCAGAGAAAUUCAGAAAUAAAACUGGUUAUCUGUGAACUGUGUUGUAUUAUCUAUCAUUUAAAUUGGUGUUGAUGACAGAGGAAUGGAAAGCAGCAAAUGUGACCAUGUUAAAAAGGUCUCUAGGGACGAUCGUGGACUAAUGUACUAAUAAGUCUGACUUCCAUGGCAGGCAAAAUGCCAGUGAAUGUGAUAAAGAAUAUAAUUAAUAGGAACACGUGUGGCUGUAAUAGGCAACCAUCACCUUGACUUUCUGUACAGGGUAGUUUUGUCUUACGGCUUCGCUUAUUGUUUGAAGCAGUAAACAGACACAUGGGAAUGGGUCACCCAAAAAGCUUUUAAAAAGGUCUAUCACCAAAGAAUGUUAACACAGUGAAGUGUUGAGAUACGUAAGAUUCCUUGUGGAUUAAUAAACGGUUACAAGAUAAAGAAGACUAUAGCAACUAGUAGGUGGCUUUAAUGACACCACCUCCCAGCAAUUUGUACUGGCACCUUUUCUGGUUCACCUGUUCCUAAAUGGUAUGAAAAGGUGCAGUGAUAAUGCUUAGAGACAAUAAAAGGCUACUGUGCAUUUGGAGUCAGAGCUGACGUUGGCCCUGAAGAGUUGCAGAAGGAUCUCACAGCACAGGCUGUGGUGCUGCAGGAGCCACGGCUGUCCCAGAGGCCAGGUAUGACUGACCCACUGUUAAACCAGACCUGUCAGCAGAGAGGGUCAUUACCUCAUCAUCUGUCAGCUCUGCAGGCUGCAGCCAGGCCUGCUGCUCAGAAAGGCAUGGACUUGCAGCUGUUCUAACAGGAGCUGCAACUUGGAAGUUCUACUUCCCUAUUUCUUAGGGUUUCACAGCCUUAGGUGAGCUUGAAAUACAGACUUUGAUCCUGGCAUUCCUGCCUGUCACAGAGGUGAAGUUUAAUUGUUAAGCUGAUGGCUGCUGUCUGGCUGCUGUGAAAAGCCUGGGUUCUCAAGCCUUUUCCUAAUGCUUGUGUGGAUUUUUAGCAGCUCUUGCUGAUUUCUUGAAAUCAUUCCGGAUGGAUUUGAUGCAAUAUGGUACUUGAAACAAAGGAGUCAUGCUGGCAUACCAGUCAGUUUUGAGCACUGAUGAGAAUUAUAUAAAAAACAGACACGGAUGAUGAAGAUAUGGCACAGCUAUUGGGCAGGGACAGUAACUGAAUCAGGAUUCUUCAUUUUGGAAAAAUGCUGGCUGAGGAGUAAUAACAUGAGAAAGAUCUCUAAAACCACGAAUAUGUGGAAGCAUUUAAUAGGAGACUCUAACUCUUUAUUUCUUAGAAUAGAAUAACAAGGAGCCCUUGGUCACUGUUUUCUGUAUCUUAGGUGACCUUUAUGAUAGCAGAAGAUACCAGUUUCAUCUGCCAUAGUUCUGUGGCACAAAACUGCACAUCUGUUUGUCCUGGACCAGCCGUGGCCAAAACCCAACCUGUGUAGAAUUACAGCUUUUCUGUAAAUAAAAGCUCGUAGGCCUUGUUGUCUGAUGAUAAAUUUUCAAAUAUGAAUCAAAUGUAAAUUGGUCCCUUUUUCCUAAACCUGAAAGAUAUACAUAUAUUUAUUGAUAUCUAAACUAUGCUUCUGUCUAUUCCUUUGUCUGGCAGUAGUAAUGUUAUGGUCAUAUUGGCCUUACUUCUCCUGUUUACAAAUGUAUGGGCGAAGGAGAAUGCCAGUUUGCUGCUACUUCAGAAAGCCAGAAGCAAAUAGCAGGUCCUAAAAUCAGUCUCAGGGGAAAUCAGAUAGAGGAGCAGUAACGUUUAACACAGCAACCGGAAGGUCAGGAGGGAGGGAGGGAGCAGGGAACAUCAUCGUAUUUCUGACGUGGCAGGAAUGGUUUUCAAGCCGUGGUCCACUAAGCCCUAAUGGGCUACAGGACUAUGGUAAGUUGAACAGCCGUUGGGCUAAACCAUAUCUAAUGGUGCUUUAAAUAGCACCUUCAAUUAAAAGUUUAAUCAGGUGGGAGUGUGCUGUUUUGUGAAAAAUGUUAAGGGCUGACAGCAAUCUAUUGCUCCAGAAAUUUGGGCUCUGCUCUUCUGCUGUGUAUGAAAAGGCAGAGAGCACUGCCUGCUUUUUCAACAUUAGAUAGGCCACAUGCCUCUGCAGGAGAAGCAUAGAAUCAUAGAAUCAUAGAAUUGCCAAGGUUGGAAAAGACCCAGAGGAUCAUCCAGUCCAACCAUCCGCCCUUCACCAAUGGUUCUCGCUAAACCAUGUCCCUCAACACAACAUCCAAACGCUCUUUGAACACCACCAGGCUCGGUGACUCCACCACCUCUCUGGGCAGCCCAUUCCAGUGCCUGACCACCCUUUCAGAGAAGUAGUAUUUCCUAACGUCCAGCCUGAAGCAGCAGCAAGAGAUUCCCAGAGGGAGCCAGGAAGAUCAAGCUGGUAGCAGCAACCCUUCUGUCCCCACCACGUCCUUCCCAGGAUCUAGUAACAGAACGGCUGCUUUUUUAAUUGUUGCCUUGUCCUGAGCACCGCUAAUAGUCUUUGCUCCUCUUCCUUUCCAUCUGCGCUCAUGAAUAGUGGAUUUAGUGGCCUGAGAAGUGAGGAUUGGGUCCCCAUAGCACAAAGAUUAGACUUCUCAUCUUAAUCAAAUGAACACAUAUGUACAUCUUUGAAUGCUUAUCUGACUUUCUAGCAACAUUAGCAGAUGCAGACUUUUCUUACGAGUAUUAGCCUGUCUUAGCACAGGAUGAGUUUAUUACUCUAAAAAAAUCCACUCCUAUUUGACCACGCUCUUUAGUUUACAUAAGCUCCCCGGAUGGUAAUUUUACAUUGUAAAAACCUUCCUUUUCCUCCUAUCAAGCCUCCUAUUAUUAUUAUUAAUAUCAUCCAUACUGACAAUUUUCCAGAAUCGUAAUGUAUUUGUAUUAGCUAUGCUUUCAGUUGCCCCAGCGUAGGUUACUUUCUGUUGUCAUAAAUACCACACAAGCACAUCCAUAAAUAAUUUGCAGACAUUAUAUCUUUUCCAACAUACUGCACAGCUUUUUAGCAGUCACGGUGGUGCUGAAGUGGAGAAAUGCCAAACUAUAAACCUCAUUCAAAUGGUAUAAAUGUGUUUAUCCUGAAGAAGUCUAUUGUCUUACCUAAAGUUAGAUUGUAGCAUACGUAUUAUAUGAAAGGUAAGCAAAAUACUACUGGCAACAGCAGUUACAGUAACGGUGUUCUAAGGGAAUUAAAGUAGGCCAGCAUGCUCUGUGUAACCCUUUUUUUGUCGCACCUCUCUUAUUCCUGUUUUUUUGAUACAUAUAGGAAAUGAGUUUUGUGAAUGCUUUUAUAUUAUUGUUAUUAUAUUAUUAUUACUAAAUGCCCCUUGCUAACUGAUAGGAUUCUGCAGUCACUUUUCAGUGUUCUAAUAUGUACAGUGCGUAUGGUUGGUUUGUCUUGUUCACAUGCACAGGGCUAAGCUGGGUAUGAGGUCAGGAGGAAAUCUUUGCCUUGUAUCAGAAAGAAAUAUACAAGGGAGGAGAGUGCUUUUCUAGCACUGUAGUGUGGAAAAAAACCUAUUUACCAGUGUCAUCUGGGGGUGAUAGGAGAGAGGGAUUAAUAUGCUUAUAAGCAAGGCAUGUGGGUAUAGAAGCAGUGAUGGAGUAUAUGGGUAGAACUGAAGAUCAGUGUAUGGGAGUAAAGAUUUAGGGGCAGAGGUCAGAACAGGAUUCCUGUAGGAGCUGGAGAGGUCACAGCUGGAUAAAUGCAUUGGGGUCAGCUGGAAGUCAGUACCCCAAACGUGGCUAUAGCUCUGCCACAUCCUCACUGCACACUUUCCCUGUCUGUUCUCUCCUGUGUCUUCUGGAAUCCCAGCUUCUUGUCUGAUUGUGAACUGGAAACCUUACUUUCCUGCUUACUCCAGAAACAAGGAUACACACACAAGUACAGAAGGCCCCUCAAACCCCUCCCAUUGGAAGCCUCUCUUCUUACUGUUCUUUCUAUGGGAUUCUGCAAUGUAGGUACAGCCAGGUGAGAAGUGGGCGCUGGGAGCAAAAUAAUGCCUCUGCUUCGCCUCUUCGUUUGCAUCUUCUCCAAGUGGGAUGUAUCCCAUCAUUAGAAAUCUGCUCGUCAAAGAGGAGUUCUUUCAUUCUUUUUCCCCCCUAUUCGUUAGAAUGUGACAGGUUUUUUUUUCUAUGUGGUGAAAUACAGUUUUUUGAUAAUGUUUGUCUUACCAAGAAGCACAACAGUUCGGGAUUUCUAGAGCCUAAUCUCUUCUAAUUCACAAUUCUUUGUGAUCCAGGACCUUCUUAAAAAGAAAGAAAUCCAGUGGGUGAGUGCAGCUACUGCUGAUACUGUCAGCCUUCUGAUAGUGUGCCUCGUUUUUUCAAUUACUAUUUUGCAGCCCACUUAAAAAUUGUUCAUAAAACCUCAAGAGUCUGCAGAUUGAGAGCCACUUUCUAAGGGGGUAUCUUUAAAUGGACGUUACUGUGUUGGUGGGGUUUUUUAAUUCAGGUGUUGGGUCUUUUUCUUCUAUCCCAUCUGUGAAACACCAAGUGUUGAUAACCAUCUGUGAAACAACAUUUGAUGUAAUGGCUACGACACUGCUUUAGAAAGCUCGUGAAAUAGAUUGCCUGCUUAGAAGAGCUGGCAUCUAAAAAUGUAUGUCAUGGACACAGGUAAUAAAUGUUGCUUGGGAGCUGUUACAGGGGAAAAAGAACUUAAUUUGUGUACGAUAUACUGGUCUUAACUUCUUAGCUUUUUAAGAUGUCUUUCUAAGUAUCCUGCUGUAUGCUCGUAAAGUAUUUAAAGAUACGAGUCAUUGCAUUUGCUGAAGUAUUCAGUGCAUCAUUUAAAAUGACUACCAAAGGAGAGAGGUGGAUUCACUUCACAUAACAGCUAAGCAUAAAAAUAAUGAUUCAGAAAUAAUCGUGUGGUUCCAGAUCAGUAAAAAUCAUUUUGUUUUUCUGUACAAGCAGAGCUCUGCACAGAACGGUGAUCUCAUUCUACCUUAUCAGAUUACAGUUCCCUACACAGAUUUUCAGUACUAAACUUUAUUCUGGUGAUUUUGUAACUUUAUUCAGAAAAAGGGGGAAAUGUAAACACUUUAAGUAAUCACUCUUUGUCCGUGCUAAAAGACUGCAUGCACAAGCUUAGUGUUUCCCCCCAGGAUUGGAUCCGUAGUCCUUCAAGUUUUGCUAUUACAGGGAAUGUGCAGGUGAAUAGGGAAAAGCAAAUGUGAAAGGAAAGAAAUCAGACGGAGAGGAGGAAAUUUCCCUUCCUUUACAGAAGGAGGGGAAAGAUGCAAGACGGUGUAAUGAGCGCAGGAGAAGUAACAGGGUGGAAAGGGAGGAAUAAUGUUUAGUGCUCAGACUUGUUAUGCUUUGUGCUUGCAUGGAAGGCAGACUGAGACUUCAGCUUUCUGACUAACUGCUGUGCUGAGCCGUACUUUACUCCAUGUGCAUUUUUGCCUUAGCGUGGCUGCUUCUAAAGAAGGCUUGAAAUUAUCUUUCUGAGGCAACCUAAACCACAAAGUGUAUUAUCCUGCUAGAAAAUAAUGUCUACCCCAAUGUUCUGUCUUCCUAAUCUAGCAGUCUAAAAACACUGCUGGAAACACAAAUAAUAAAAAAAGCCAGCUGUAUGUGUAUUUGCUGUUGUCAAUUCCACUCACUGGCAUUCGGGGCAGGGGACAGGCAUGCAGAAAGGCUGUAACACUGAACAGUGGCAAAAAUUCUGUGCAAAACCUUGUUGUAAUAACGAUGGAAGUGAAAACUGGCCUCAUUUAUCAAGUCGUUUUUUUGGUCAAGUUCUUGUCCACACCACGUUUGAGGCUCUUCAUUCUAGAUGGAACACUUAUAGCCAGUACUUUAUGUACCGUACUCAAAGAGCAAUAUGAAAUAUAAGUGAUUGUCUAAAUCAAGAAGAGGUUUAUCUAUUAUCUCUACAUCAGUUUGUCAGAACUUAAAUGGAAAGGGAGACCGAACGGAAAACUAUAAAUAUAUUAAAAUAUAUUAUAAAAAUAGAAAUACAUAAACCUUAACUGCUAGUUUAUCAUCAUUCAACUGGACUAGGCAAAGUCACCUCAUAAGCAAGUGUAGGUAUAGAUCAACAGACUAC
rnacentral:lncRNA from 1 species